GGGGAUGUAGCUCAGUGGCAGAGUGCUUGUUUCAUAUAUGUGAGGUUCUGGGUUUGAACCCCAGUACUUCA
rnacentral:tRNA from 1 species